GCAGGAAAUGUGACAUGUCAUGGAAGCCAUUGGAGCCACUGAAGUCCAAGCAGGUAUGUGAUAUGAUCAGGUAUGAAUAUUUUUAAUACUUAAAUUUAGAAAAUUUGGAACAAUAGAAAAAGAAAAUUAAUUACUCAUAAUCAUACAUUUUCUAAUGUAUGUAAAGAAGCAGCUCAAACUCCUUCCCCCUCCUGUUCUUCUCAUUUCAUCCACCACCGGUCCCCAUGGAGCUCCCCUACCCAGACGCCACUACUCACCUCUCUUCCAGCCUCUCCCACCAAACUCAGCCGCUAUUAACAGGUUCCUUCUGGAAAUGUGGAGCCCCUGUCUCCCCAGUUGACUGCUCAAACAGAUCCCGUCUCAGGGCUGACAGCCCGAAGACUCCCCAGCCCCAGGCAGUAGAUUCCGGUCACUCCUGACUGUCCCGGCAGGAUGGAGCAGAAGAAGGAGGGGCCAGCGCGAGGGACCCGGCCCAGCACCCCCGUGCAUGGCCCAUGUCUCUGGGCUUCCUGUCCUGUGCAGCUGAGAGCUGCCCCAGAGACCGGUGCUGUGCCAGAGGCUGGCCGCCUGCCGGAGAUGGAGGCAAACAAAGAAGAGUGGGAAUAAGAGGCACAGGUGAUGCUGGGCAUACAGAAAGUCCUGCAGAGGUUAGGAGAGGCAAAGGAAAAGCUCAGGCAAGCAGUUGACUGGCCACGGGUGCAGGAGGAGGAGACGUGACCGUGGCAGAGCAGGCAUCAGAGCCCACACAUCUGGAACUGUCCUAGGAGACUCCAGAAAUCACCCUGCAGAUUGCUUCUCAUCUUCCUGACAUGGAAGCUUCAGACAAUCCCUUCCAAGUUUCCUUCUUCUAUCAGAGUGCUGAGAACACACUGUUCACCGGUAGAGUCUUUGGCAUGUGUGGGGAGCUCUCUUCUGCUGCUGACCUGCUGCCUGGCCCACCACUGCUGCCGAGGGCCUCUACCAAGACUCCAAUGCUGCCUUUCUGAGGUCAUUUUACAAGGCCUAUUUCAGGGAAGCAUUUUCUAUCACACUGCAAAUGUCAGCAGCUGCCCAGGACAGGAGGCCUGACCAAAGCGUGAGCACCACACUGCUGGGAGAGCAGUGCAUCUCUGCAAGAGAACAAGGCCUUUGUGGCUCCUUGAAAGGGAGUGUGAGUCUCACUUGAAGCCAGAAUCACCAGAAGAGUAUAUUAAGGAAAGCAAAGAUCUCCUCUUCACUAAUAUGGAACGUUUCCUGAAAAGCAUCCUCACCACAGAGCAAUAAAUCCCAGGAAAACCAAGAGAUCAGCUUGGGGGUGAAGAUAAGAUCUAGAAAGAAAAUGGUGAUUUCAUUUCAGUCUGCAUGAUUAAAAGUCCAAGAAAUUGUACAUGUGACCAACACCAACAGAGAAAGUCACUAACUGAAAUUCAAAAUAACAUCAUUAUGGAAUAGUACAUACAGUCUUUUCAGACUAGGAAAAAAUAAAGUGCAUAGAAGAACUGGGAUACGCUUUACCUGGUAAACACUCUUUGGGUUGCUG